GAUUAUGAAGUUGUGUCUGUGAAUAAGAUGCAGCUACAGCUGAUGGUUGGCAAGAUCUUGUUCAUGACCAUGACCUGAGAGAAUAUUAGGAAGAAAAAUCAGCAAAACUAGUGCAAUUCUAAAACUUUGGCGUUGCAUUUGGAAUAUGUGGUGCUAUGUUUUGGAAAGCUUACCAGAUCAAGUACCAAAAUGAUGAUAAAUGAAGGUGCCGAAGAUGCUUCAUGUUUCCUGAUAUUUUGAACAGAUGCUUCCUCUAAAGAAAUAAAAAUACAGGAAAAGCAUGCUCCAUAUUUAAAACUCUGCUGCUUGAUAAUUGCUAGACAACUGCUGGAACACGAAAAACACCAACGGUGUGCAUGGACAUGACAAUAAAGAUCAAGUAGUACCUAUCUGAUUCGUCCAGAUUCAACAUCUGUUGUGGUGCAAGCCAAGACUCAGUUAUAAUACCAAUGGAGAACAAUUUUUCUAUGACUGCACAAUCAAUUAUGUUCCUUUUACCGAACUAGAGAGAGUUAAAUCUGCAAUACAGCAGGUGAAGAUAACAUGCAUUGUAAAAUAUUUAUGCAGAAUAACAAGUUUAAUUUAUCAUUGACAACACAGCUAUGAGAUCUGUGACUUUCAACACAAGUGAGCAAGAGAACCCACCUUUUAUUGAGAUGCUAUACGACACACUUGACUAAUGAGAUUAGAUGAUGUAUUUUGGUGUAAUUAUCCCACCUUUUCUUGCCAAGUUUAGGUUCUAUUUGGUAAUAAGUUUCUCCAGAAGGCCCAUGCUACAGAUAUUUGAUAGCGUAGCUAGUUUUCAACCUUGGUUUUCAACUCAAGAUACCACAAAAGCCUUUCUGUAAUGGUGGACGAGCAGGAAGUCAGGUGAGUUGGGGAAUAUUAAUCAUACUAAUAAACAUUCUGUAGGUUAUAUUUCAUGUCACCUAAACAGAAAGUGUAUACCAUAAGUAUACAAAAGAACCAAAGCACAAACACCAACUAUCGUUUUUCUGUCCUCCAAACAUGUAAAGCACAUUACUGUUUGAUCUGGUCCAUGACGGGCACUCUCCCUAACUCACAAUCAAACCUUUGCUGGCGAAGGCUCAUGGUGGAUGUGGAUCCACUCGAAAUAUUCAGAAAACUACCUAUAUAGGAAAUCAAUACAAAGCAUGGUGCUAUAUAAUUGCAGAAUCAUCAUACAAGUUGAAUAUUUAUCAGGAUUCUGGCUCAGUCUAGUUGGAUAAAGCAAAGAAAAAAGAGCUACUCUUUUUUGUGGCCCCCCAAAUGAGCUUUCUAUUUCAUGCAAGUCUCAAAAGACAGUAUCGAGUACAGGAACCUACAUUAUUGUCACUUGGUAACCAGAGGCAAAGAUUGUUGCCUCCUAAUCUUUCCAAGUUAGUUUCUGAUAUAAGCAAGGCAAGUCGGACAUAAAACUUAAAGGUGGACUUAGGUGCCACAAGAAAGUUCCACUUUUGCAAUACAAACCGUUAUAACAAGUUAGCUUAUGGAAAGAUUGAUGGUUGGAAUUAAACUUGUUAAGAUAUCAUCAAAGAAAUUUUAUUCUAUCAAGAAAGAGGUUGAUGAGAAACCAAAUUGAUUAUUGAUUCUUAAAAAAUUUAUAAAAUAAAUAAAUAAUUUAUUUUAAAUAUAUUUAAUAUAAUGUAUCUACGGAGACUAUAUAAACCUCAUAUGUUUGAUCAUAAAACAUAUAGAGUUUUUGAAAUUAUAGAAAGUUUUGAGAUAAACAUAAAAGAAAGUUUGGAGAGAAACAUAAAACAUUUUGUCCAUAUCAUACUCUUCCUUUACUUGAUAGCAACUAUCGCCUCUUCUCCCGAGUACCAUCCUAACUCCAAAUCCUUACAUGAUGCAUCCAAAUAAAUAUUAUUUUAGGCAACUAAGAUAUAUAGAAGUUUGUAGAAAAUAGAUUCGUUGAAAGAAGGAGCAAUGAAUGUAGAAGCAAGAAAAUAACUCAAAGAUAGAAAGAAAAAAAGAGAAAAAAGCUAUAUCCACAAUCUAAGGCUUGAUACAAUAUUUAAGAUUAUCGCUCUAGCAAAUACUUUAAAAGAGACUUAGAAAAUACUUUAAAAAGUAUUUGGUGGUAUGGAUAAAGUAAAAAACCUUUGUUUAUAUGUUUUAAGAGAUGAGUUUAAAAAAUUACUUCUUAAAAAUUAUUUCUAUUAUUCAUCAAAUGAGAUAAAAUAGUGAACAAAUAAGUGAUCAAAGAGUAAUAUAAAAAUAUACUAAAAUCUCUAGAUCUAAAGUUUAAUUUUACUACUAUAGUAACUAAAGAGUCUAAAGGUCUGAAACAAAUAUUUUUAGAAUAAAUAAUGGGUUUUCUUCGAGUUCAUGGACAAAAGCUUAUAAAAAGAUGAUAACAAAAAUCUAUAAAGGCACUACAAACUAAGCUUACUUUUAAAAAUUUUCAAAGGUUAAUGAAAAUCUUAAAGAGGAAGAGUGAUAGAAAUCAGACCAACCAAGAAUCUCAAAACAAUAAAGGUGAUGGAAAAAACUCUAGCCAAAGAGAUCGAGGUUAUAGUUGAUGAUGUGGACGAGGCCGUGGACAUGAUAAAAAUUUUAAAAAAUCUGAAAUAUAAUACUAUGUUUGCAAAAGGUAUAGACACUACUCAUUUAAAUAUUAUUAUUGUUGAAUCUCGGAUUUUAACGAUGAAGUUAAUUGUCAUUUGUUUAUCCAAUCUAUAUGUUAAGAAAAGUGUGCAGGAUUAACUACGAUGGCAGUAAGACAUACAGCAGGUGUUGAGCCGGAGUCAAGACCAAGAUCAUGUUGGGAGUUCGAGAGUUCGUCGGAAGUCCGGACAUUCGUCGAAAGUUCUGCGGGAACCAUCUGAGAAGUCUAGGAGCUUGCCAAAGAAGCUCGUUGGAACUCGCCAAGAAGAUCGUCGCGAAGUCCAAGAGCUUGCCGGGAGUUUGCCGGAGCAUCAUCGAGGGUUCAUCGGAUGUUCGCCGGAAGUUCGCCGAAAGCUCGCCGGAAGAUCGAUUGACGCACCGGAACAGAAAUUACAGUAAUGAUGUCUUAAUUAUCAUAGUUAGAGUUUAGAUUAAGUUAGGAUUGGGAGGUAAUCCCACUAACUUAAUUAGAGGCCAACUGGGACCUUAACAGACCCAAAUUGGGCUGAAUGGAACAGCCCAUUCGGAUCCAGAAUUCCUGGCCGACGGUGGCAUCGCCUAGGAGACUCGAUCUCCCAGGGAUUAUGGGCGGUAGUACCGCCCCUGUCAAGUGGUGGUACCGUCGGUAGUUAUUGCUGCCAGCGGUGGUACCGCCUGAGCUUAGUCUUCGAGCGUUGUUAGGCGGUAGUACCACCCAGACUGAGCAGUAGUACCGCUCAGUGUCCGAUGACAGGUUGUAGUACCACCCAAUAAUAGCGAUGGUACCAUCAAGACCCCGGAAAUCUGGGAAUGGAUACUUUUAGACUUCAUUUUCAAACUCAUUGAGGCCUAUAUAAUCCUCACCCUUUUCUGCAUGAAAGGGCAACGAAAAACUUGCUUUAAUCUUGAGUCUUUGAGGCCUUAAAGUAUUGUAAAAGCUAGAGUUCUCCUCCUUCUUUCUUCUAAGUGUCGAGAUCAUUCAAGAGAGGAAUGAAAACUUAUAAGGGUUGUCUCCUAAGCCCAUCAAAAGGAGAAAAGCUAUAAAAGGGUGGUUGGCCUUCGCCUAUAGAAGGAAGGCCUCUAGUGGACGCCGGUGAUCUCGUCAGAGGAGGAAGCCAAUAGUGGAUGUAGAUCACGUUGAUCGAACCACUCUAAAAUCUCGGUUUGCAUUUACUUUGAGAAUCUUUCCUUUAUAAGCAAAUUGUCUCUCCUCUUUACUGUGCUUAACUACGUCUACUUACACUUUGACGUAAACAUUUUUUGAAAUAUGUUUUACUUGUACGAAAGCUUUACGAAACUGACGUUUUUUAGUUGUGUGAUUUGCAUUACUGUAAAUCACCUUAGUCUUCUCUUGGUAUUUCACGAAAGGUUUCAAGUUUAAAGUUAUUCUGAAAAGGGAUUAAGUUGAAACCAUUCUUGUUGAAUUGACUUUAAUCGAAAUAAGUUUUUGAACUAGCAAAAGUUUUCUGCUGCACUAAUUCACCCUGCCCUCUUAGUGCGCUCUUGAUCCUAACAAUUAUAAUCCUGACAAUCAAGAUGAUAAGGUAAAUUUUGUUGAGAAAGAAAAAAAAAUCAAGUUUUGCUAAUGACUUAUGAUAAUUUAAAGGGAGAUAUGUCUAUGACAUGGUAUCUAGAUACGGGAGCUUCAAAUCACAUGUGUAGCAUCAAAGAACUAUUUUCUUAUAUAUAAAUUAUUUCGAGAACAUUAUAUUUGGUGAUCUGCCUCAAAUACCAAUAAGAGGCAAAGAUAAAAUUUUUCUUGAACUUAAUAAUAGCAAAGAAUUAUGCAUUUCAGAUGUUUAUUAUAUUCAUAAUAUGAAAAAUAAUAUUAUGAGCUUAUGGUAGUUACUUGAAAAAGGUUAUGAUAUUGAGAUUAAAGAUAUAGUUCUUUCAAUUCGAAUAAAACAUUAAUCUCAUUUGUAAAAAUGGUGAAAACAUUAAUCUCAUAUGUGAAAAUGGUGAAGAACAAAAUAUUUUCUUUGCAUUUAUAUAUUUUUUUAUUAGUUAAAUUUUUUUAUGAUUGAUACUGAGGAUGUUUCUAUAUACUUACUUAAAUUUUGAAGCUUUAAAACUUAUAGAGAAGUUUAAUAUGGUGAUAGGAAUGCCAAGAAUUAAUCAUCCAUCAAAGUUAUGUGAAAUAUGUGUCAUAAGCAAGCAAGAAAAAAAGCAUUUCAAAUUAAGAAGAACAAAAAGAGCGACUUAUCUAGUGCACUCAUAUGUUUAUGGCCCUAUCAAUCUAGUAUCACUUGUAUAAAGCAAGUAUUUUCUUAUCUUCACUGAUAAUCAUAGUGCCAAAAAUUAGGCUUAUAUGUUAAAGAAAAAGAAAGAAGUUUUAAUCAAAUUCAAAAAAUUUAAGGAUUUAGUUGAAGACAAAGUGAUUAUAAGAUUAAAUAUUUAAAAAUAGAUAGGAGAUAGGAGUGGUGAAUAUAUAUCAAAUGAAUUUAAUUUUUUUUCUAAAAAUAAUAAAAUUUUACAUCAAUUUACUAUGUCAUACAUACUUAGAAAGAAAAAAAUAUGACAAUAUUUAAUAUGGUCUGAUACAUGUUAAAGGAAAGAAGAAUUCCUAAAGAAUUUUGAGGAGAUAUUGUUACUUAUGCAGUUUAUUUUCUUAACAGGUUUCCAACAAGACGAAUUAGUAAUGUUAUACUAGAAGAAGUAUGGAGAUUACAGAAACCAAGAGUCGAUCAUUUGAGAAUCUUUAAAAGUAUUAUAUUUGCCAAGAUAUCAGAAGAAAAGAGAACAAAACUUGAGGAUAAAAGUCAAAAAAAUGCAUCUUGUUAGGUUAUGCUGAGAAUUUUAGUAGUUACAAUCUCUAUAAUCCUAUAUUAAGUUAUGUCGUUAAGAGAUGUUGAGUUUGAUGAACAACAGAUUUGAAAUUGGAAAAAUGAUGAGUAGCAUAAGAAAGCUAUGGCUUCAAAAUACGAUGAUAUAAUAUGAGCAAGCACUAAAAAGUCUUUGCUUGAAUCAUCACAUAGAUCGGCUAAGUCACAUGAUUCAAAGAGUCCAAUUGUAAUAAAGACAAGAAUGAUUCAGGAGCUAUAUGAUAUGACUCCAAGGAUUUUUUUUUUUAUCUUUUUACAUGAUAUGAUCUAUUAAUCUUCAAAGAAGCUUCUAGAGAAAAAAAAAUGGUGACAAACCAUAAACGAGGAGAUUCAUGCUAUUAACAAAAAUCAUACAUGGGAACUUACUACACUUCUAGAAGACCACCAAGCGAUCGGUGUUAAGCAUAUCUUCAAAAAAAAAAUACAUAAGGGGAGGAGGAGAAAUAUAAGACAUGAUUAGUUGUAAAGGGAUAUAAAUAGCAAUAUAAGAUCGACUAUAAAGAAGUAUUCACACUAGUUGUUUGAUUAGAGAAAAUAAGAUUACUUAUUUUCUUAGCAGCUCAUGUGAAAUGAAAAAUUUUACAAAUAGAUGUCAAAUUAGUAUUUCUUAAUAGAGUUCUUAAAAAAGAUGUAUAUAUUCUACUACCACCUAGUUUUAUUAUUCAUGAAUAAGAAGACAAAGGAUACAAAUUAAAGAGAGAUCUUUAUGGGCUUAAACAAGCUCUUAAACAAGCUCUGUAAACAUGAAAUUCUCGAAUAUAUGCUUAUUGUAUCCAAACAAGUUAUUUUAAAUGUCCAUAUGAAUAUGCUCUAUAGGAAAUUUAACUAUGAUAGAGAUAUCUUAUUUAUAUGCCUACAUAUAGAUGAUUUAACUUUUAUAAGCAAUAGUAGUUCUAUAAUUAAAUAUUUUAAUUACUCUAUGAAGAAGGAGUUUGAGAUGAUCGACUUGAUCCUAAUGACUUAUUUCUUUAUAUUCAAGUUAUACAAGAUAAUGAAGAAAAUUUUUAUCUCACAAGAAAAUUAUGCAAAGGAUAUUCUAAAGAAAUUUUUCAUGGAAGAUUAUCACCCUACAGAUACACCUAUGGAAUAUGUUAGUUUGGCAAGUCCCAUAGUCCCACAUUGGGAAAAUCAGACUUGUUGUCUCGUAUUGGAACUAUAAAUAAGGGCCUGGGCUUUGAAGUUAAAUGCACCACAAGAAGCACCACAAGAAGCACCACAAGAGGCACCACAAGAAAAACCUAAGUGUUUGCUUUGGUUUAAGUCCAUACUCAGUUAAAUAGUUUGGACUUAUAGUUUGGUUUUUCUUGUUUAGUAUUUUCGGGUGUUUUAUGGCCUAGGAAUAUCUUCCUAAGGCAUUUGUAAUUGUCCCUCUUUUGCAGUAGUAAUUUGCUCCUCUUUCGUCCGUGGAUGUAGGUCAAAGUCAAUUGACCGAACCACGUAUAUCUGGUGUUCUAGUGUUCUUGUCGCUUUUAUCUUUUCCGUUUUAUUGUCUUUGUUGUGUUGCCAAAAUUACCUUGUGGUAAAUUUCCUGGGGCUAGCUCUAACAAACUGGUAUCAGAGCUUGGUUCUGGGAUCUUUUGGCAACGAUGAAAAUAACAAAGAUUGUUGUCGAGAAAUUCGAUAGAAAUGUCAACUUUGGCUUGUGGCAACUCAAGAUGGAGGCCAUUCUGGUUCAAGACGGAGUUGAUUUGGUACUACAGGGAGCCGAGAGCAUUCCAGAUGAUAUGUCAAAAGAAGAGCUUGCGGGUGGCCCGAUCAAGUAUUAUUCUAAAUCUCUCUAACGAGGUUUUACGGGAGGUAGCUACGGAGACUACGGCUAAGAGCAUGUGGGAUAAGCUUAAAGCCUUGUACAUGAAGAGGACAGUAGAGAAUCGUCUCUACUUGAAGCAGAGUCUAUAUAUGCUUCGGAUAACUGAAGGUACAUCUAUACUCUCACAUCUUGAUAAGUUUGACUCUUUGGUUAUGGAUUUGGAGAAUAUAGAUGCAAAAAUUGAUGAUGAGGAUAAGGCUUUAUUACUCUUGUGUUCUCUUCCCCAAUCUUUUAAGCAUUUCCGUGAUACUUUGAUUUAUGGAAAAGAAACAAUUUUGUAUCAAGAAAUUAAAUCUGCAUUGAAAUCUAAGGAGCAGAUAGACAGGAAUAUCACUAGGGAAAAUAGAGAGAAUCAGGUUGAGGGUCUGAUUGUUAGGGGGAGAAUGGAUAAAAGAGAAUUUGAUAGUAGUAGAUCUAAAUCUAGAUCUAAAUCCAGACAUAGAAAUUUGGAAUGCAGAUAUUGUCAUAAAAUGAGGCACAUUAAAUCUUAUUGCUUUAAAUUGAAAAAUAAAUUAAAGCAAAAGGAAAAUUUUAUUGAAAAAACUACUGAAUCCGCUGAAGUUAGUGUAGCAACUGAUGAGAUUGUUGGAAAUAUUUUUUCUGCUAUUGAUGACAGGACGAGGUCUAAAAAUGAAUGGAUUUUAGAUUCAGGUUGUUCUUAUCACAUGUGUCCCAAUAGGGAUUUGUUUUCCACAUAUGAAUCUUGUAAUGGUGGAAUUGUUUUGAUGGGCAAUAAUGUCGCAUGUGAUGUUGUUGGUAGAGGCACAAUCCGAAUUAAAAUGCAUGAUGGUAUUGUGAGGACGCUCACUAAUGUUAGACAUAUUCCUGAUUUAAAAAAGAAUCUCAUCUCUUUAGGCACCCUAGAGGUCCUUGGGUGUAAAUACACAGCUGAAGGUGGAGUUAUGAAAGUUUCUAGAAGUGCUCUUGUUGUUAUGAAAGCUUGUAGGUCUGGUAGCUUGUAUAUUCUGCAGGGAACUACUGUCACAGGUUUGGUUGCAGUUUCGUCAUCAUCAUUGUCUGAUUCUGACAUCACCAAAUUAUAGCAUAUGUGUUUGGGUCAUAUGAGCGAAAAAGGUUUGAGCAUAUUGAGCAAAAGGGGUCUACUUUGCGGACAGAGUACUGGGCCACUUGAUUUUUGUGAGCACUGCAUUUUUGGAAAGUAGAAAAGAGUCAGCUUUACUUCUCCGGCAGUUCACAAAACGAAAGGUACUCUUGACUAUAUUCAUUCAGACCUUUGGGGUCCAGCUCAAGUUCAAUCUAAGAGUGGUGCUAGGUAUAUGUUGACUUUCAUUGACGAUUAUUCUAGGAAAGUUUGGGUUUAUUUUCUAAAGCAUAAAAAUGAUGUUUUUCUAACCUUUAAACAAUGGAAGGCUUUGAUUGAGAAACAAACAGGUAAACAGAUAAUGGCAUGGAAUUUUGUGAAGGUGACUUUGAAGAAUUUUACAAAAAUGAAGGAAUUGCUCGGCAUCGCACUGUUAGGAUGACACCUCAGCAAAAUGGUGUGGCCGAACGUAUGAACAGAACACUCUUGGAGAGAGCAAGGUGUAUGAUCUCAAAUACAGGGUUGACAAAGGACUUUUGGGCAGAGGCGAUUAAUAUGGCUCGUUACGUUGUCAACCGCGCUCCUUCUGCGGCACUUAACUUUAAAACUCUAGAGGAAGUUUGGUCAGGUACUCUUGCUGAUUAUUCUGAUUUAAAAAUUUUUGGGUGUCCAGCAUACAUGCAUGUAAAUGAAGGAAAAUUAGAGUCUCGAGCUAAAAAGUACAUUUUCCUUGGGUAUGCUUCUGGGGUGAAAGGAUACAGAUUAUGGUGUUCUGAUCCCAAAUCCCCAAAAUUUAUAAUCAGUAGAGAUGUUACUUUUGAUGAAUUAUCUAUGUUAUCUUCCAAAGAAGAAUCUACUAGUUGUACAAAUGAUAGUGCGCAGAAGUAGGUGGAGCUUGAGAUUGGAAGUUCUAAUUCUUUUCAGUCGAACUCUUCUACUCAAAGAAUGCCAGUAGGUGGUCCCGAGUCUACUGACGCAGAUGAUCCAAAGGAAGAGCAAUAUUCCAUAGCCAAGGAUAGACCACGGAGAGAUAUUCGACCACCACAAAGAUAUGCAAAUUUGGUUGCAUAUGCUUUGUCUGUUGCAGAAGAGACAAGUGAAGUUGGUGAGCCUACUUCCUACUCAGAUGUAGUUUCUUGUGAUAAUUCCGCUAAGUGGUUGAUUGCGAUGAAUGAAGAAAUUGAGUCUCUCCAUCGGAAUAGAACUUGGGAUCUUAUGAAGCCGCCUUCGGGUAAGAAAAUUAUUGGAUGCAGAUGGGACACUAUUGUUGAGGGAAAGGUCCUUGUUCAGAAAAUUCAUACGAAGGACAAUCCAGCUGAUAUGUUUACGAAGCCUCUUCCGGUUUACAAGUUCAAGCAGUGCUUGGACUUGGUUGGUGUUCAUUGUUGGUGAUUGCCCGUUGGGACUGUUAUGAAGAAGGUGGAGCAAGUUUUGUUGGGACAUGCCAAGGUGGAGAUUUGUUAGUUUGGCAAAGUCUCAUAGUCCCACAUCGGAAAAAUCAGACUUGUUGUCUCGUAUUGGAACUAUAAAUAAGGGCCUGGGCUUUGAAGUCAGAUGCACCACAAGAAGCACCACAAGAGGCACCACAAGAAAAACCUAAGUGUUUGCUUUGGUUUAAGUCCAUACUCAGUUAAAUAGUUUGGACUUAUAGUUUGGUUUUUCUUGUUUAGUAUUUUCGGGUGUUUUAUGGCCUAGGAACAUCUUCCUAAGGCAUUUGUAAUUGUCCCUCUUUUGCAGUAGUAAUUUGCUCCUCUUUCGUCCGUGGAUGUAGGUCAAAGUUAAUUGACCGAACCACGUAUAUCUGGUGUUCUAGUGUUCUUGUCGCUUUUAUCUUUUCCGUUUUAUUGUCUUUGUUGUGUUGCCAAAAUUACCUUGUGGUAAAUUUUCUGGGGCUAGCUCUAACAGAAUAUGGCACCAUGUUAACAAAGGAAUAUGAAGGUAAAUACAUUAAUUCAACUUAUUAUAAAAGCUUAGUUGGAAGUUUAAGGUAUUUGACAUACAGUUGAUAUAUUAUUUGGAGUUAGUUUAAUAAGUAGAUACAUGGAAGCUCUUAAGAUAUCUCAUUUAAAUAUUGCUAAAAGAAUUUUAUGAUAUACUAAAGAGAUAAUUGAGUAUAAAAUAUACUAUUCAUCAUGGAGCUUAUUUGAUAUAAUAAUAAUAAUUGGACCGGAAACAGGAAGAGUAUAACUAGAUUUGUAUUUUAUUUUUGUGAAACUAUAUUCACAUUGUCUUCAAAAAAAUAAUAUAUCAUUGCUCUAUCAAAUUGUGAAGUAAAAUAUAUAGUAGCAUUUUUUUAUGUUUGUCAUAUUACAUAGCUAAGAAGAUUACUCUAGGAACUUUAUAUGUUAUAGGAGAGGUCAACCAAGAUUUAUGUUAAUAACAAAUCUUAUUGUCUUAACCAAGAAUCCAGUCUACCAUAAAAGAUUGAAGCAUAUUGAUACAAGAUUUUAUUUUAUAAGAGAUCAUGUCAAAAAUAAAAAAAAUGGAACUACUUCGCAAAUGAAUAAGUGGUCGAUAUAUUUAUAAAAUAUCUCAAAUUUAAAAUAUUUUAACAACUUCAAAAGAAACUUGGUAUGUUAAAUGAAAUAAGUUUGGAAAGAAUGUUAGAAUUAAACUUAUUAAAGUAUUAUAAAGAGAUUCAUAAGAAAAACAUAAGAAGUUCAGGAGAAACACAUUAAAAAAAACCAAACUAACUAUUGGUUCUUGAAAGAUUUUUUUGAAAAAGAAUGAUUCAUUUUGAAUAUAAUUAAUAUAAUAUAUCGAGGACUAUACAACCCUCAUGAAAAAAAGAUUUUAUUUUUAUCCUAUCUCUUUUUCUUAUUUAGUUAUGAAAAAGAAAAAAAACGUGGGAAAAUGACAACCAGCUACUAUAAUCAAUCAUGCAGCAAUCCAGAAGUGGUGAUCAAAUUAAGGUAGCAUAACUCUGGUUAACUCAUCCAUUCAUACCCAAGAUGCAAAAUGAACAGAGUGAGAAAGGAGAAUGCGAUUUUAUGGAUAUAAAAGAACAAAGAAUUCAUGGAACACUUAAUUCUGUGGCUAUCAGUCGCUAUUAAGUGUUUAUGAAGCUUUAAUAUAGGAGACAUAGUCUUUGAUGCCACGAACAUUUCACAUGGUGAAACUAAAUAUAUCAAACGCUUAAGAUUGUUUCAGUAGAAGCGAGAAGAUUUUUUUUUUUUUCUUUUUUCGUUGAUUUCUUGAAGUAUUAAUGGCGUCCACAACUCUUCAAGCUAACCUUGUUGUGGUUUACCAUUUCGGAAAGUGUUGUCUUCUUCCCUCUACGCACGUCGUCCACACUGCCCCCAUCCCUCCAUCGUUGGCUCCAAAUCCCUCGAAUCUGCUCCACAAACCGACGUGCCCUUUAACGAAGAGCACACAAUCCAAGGGUUAACGAGACACUUGGAAUGCAACGCGUCAGACACUCACCGGUGGCACAGAGAUGGUCGUAGAAAUGCCCAAAAGAGAUAAGACUCCACCGGUGACUCCUGUUCAUAAAAAAUACGCACGGAUUAGUAGGGAAAAUGUUGAGGUGGAUACCUCAUCCUUCAAGCCUUUUGUGGCUCUUGAGCUGCCGGCCCUCUUACAGCCAACAUUACGGCAUAUAUCAUUGAUGGUUUAGCUCUCGAUCUAACGAUUAGAGUAGAAGAAACGGGGCGAUAUGUUUGCUCACAAGUGAUCAAUCCUGCACGCAACAUAUAAGAAC
rnacentral:lncRNA from 1 species